UACAGAGGUGGCAAGCGUUGUUCGGAAUUACUGGGCGUAAAGGGCGCGUAGGCGCCUUCUCAGUCAGAUGUGAAAUCCCCCGGGCUCAACCUGGGAACUGCAUUUGUGACUGCAUGGCUAGAGUCCGGAAGAGGCGAGUGGAAUUCCUGGUGUAGCGGUGGAAUGCGCAGAUAUCAGGAGGAACACCAAUUGCGAAGGCAGCUCGCUGGGACGUUACUGACGCUGGAGACGCGAAAGCGUGGGGAGCAAACAGG
rnacentral:rRNA from 1 species